rnacentral:rRNA from 1 species
CUGGUGCCAGCAGCCGCGGUAAUUCCAGCUCCAAUAGCGUAUAUUAAAGUUGUUGCGGUUAAAAAGCUCGUAGUUGGAUCUCAGUUCCGGACCGACGGUACGCCGCCCGGCGUCUACUGUCGGCUUCCGAACGCUAAAGCCCGUCGGCUCGGUCGGGGUGCUCUUCAUCGAGUGUCCCGGGCGGCCGGCACGUUUACUUUGAAAAAAUUAGGGUGCUCAGAGCAGGCCAAGGCGCCUGAAUACUUGUGCAUGGAAUAAUGGAAUAGGACCUCGGUUCUAUUUUGUUGGUUUUAAGAGCCCGAGGUAAUGAUUAAUAGGAACAGACGGGGGCAUUCGUAUUGCGACGUUAGAGGUGAAAUUCUUGGAUCGUCGCAAGACGAACUACUGCGAAAGCAUUUGCCAAGAAUGUUUUCAUUAAUCAAGAACGAAAGUUAGAGGUUCGAAG